CCUGCGAUCGACUGGCAACCAGUCCAGGGUGUACCCCGCAUCUCGCCCGUAGUCAGCUGGGAUAUGGUCCAGCCCCCCCACAACCCUGACGGAUAAGCAGCAUAGAUAAUGGAUGGAUGGAUGAUAUUCCUGUUCAGCUUUGACCUCACUGGAUGCGUCUCUCCUCUCUCUCAGCUGGUGUGGUGAGCCUGUGACAGUGUGUACACAGUAACAUCUAGAUUGCUAUGGCCAUCAUUACGGAGGAUCUACUUGCUGUUGGACAUAAAAAGUAGCAGAAAGCGAUGCUAACGGACCUCGGUGCAAGUGCGUUGAUCCUGACUGCAUCACUGUCGUGUCAAAGAAUAAAAAUCAAGAACCAUGUAGAACCGUUUGUACCUCACACAAACAGUGACCUCUGUGAUCUCUGCAAAUGCAUAUAAAGGUGCAAGUGUGUGGCACAGCGCGUAGGCCGCCACCACAUCCAAGUCACAUUAAUGUGUUUGUCUUUUUCUGGAGGCUUUUCAUCAAGUGUCAAAGUGACUGAUCCUGGCUUAAUGUGCAGUCUCUUGCUGCCAUCUAGUGGCCCUGGCAUGAAAACUAAUUUCAGCUUCCUCCUCUCAAAAAUGACUGUUCUGGAGACAUCAGCAAGAUAUGACUGCCAGUGUUAGGCAUAGGCAGAGUAUUAUUAUUGCACUUCAAUAUUUAAACAAUGUUGAAUGACAAUAGCCACAGUUAUAAUCGUGAUUACUGUAAUAAUAAAAAACACAAUUCAAACUAUAUGUUUUUAUUUUUUAAUUUUUCUUUCCACUGUCCUCAUUCCCGCUCCUCCCUUUCUCCCUCAUCCAUGUCAUCAGCAUCCAUUUGUUUUAAAGGCAAAGAUUAUAAUAAUUGUGUGACCAUAUGUGCUGACAAAAAUGCCCUGUUUGGCUUCUGCACCCUGAUCCAUAGCAUCAAGCACCUCCUUCAGCAGCUCCAACCUCCACCUCUACUUCACAGGGAGUCUGAAGACCUCCAUGCUGGGGCCUGGACCAUCUACAAUGGUGUUCUUCUGGCCAAAGGCUUUCUAUUCUGUGUUUAAAAACAAAGGAUAACAGAAGUUUGUUUUAAUGUUGUUGUAAGCAGAUGCACAUCUCUGAGGGGUCCUAAUGCAAGGAGCAAUGAUGUUCUUAUUGGUGUAUCCAGCUCUGGAACAACUUAAGAGACCACUGCAAAAUUAUCAGUUUCACUAGUUUUACUAUUUAUGGUAUUUAGGUAUGUGUAAAUUGAAAAUUUUUGAUUUUUGUGUUAUUCUAUAAACUACUAACAAUAUUUCCAAAUUCCAAAUAAAAGUAUUGUCAUUUAGAGCAUUUAUUUGCUGAAAAUGACAAAAAAACAAAACAGAAAAGAUGCAAUGUUUUUAGACCUCAAAUAAUGCAAAGAAAACAAGUUCAUAUUCUUUUUUAAACAACACAAUACUAACGUUUUAACUUAGAAAGAGUUCAAAAAUCAAUAUUCAGUGGAACAACCCUGAUUUUCAAUCACAGCUUUCAUGUGUCUUGGCAUGCACUCCACCAGUCUUUCACAUUGCUGUUGGGUGACUUUAUGCCACUCCUGGCGCAGAAAUUCAAGCAGCUCAGCUUUGUUUGAUGGCUUGGUAAUAUCCAUCUUCCUUUUAACCACAUCCCAGAGGUUUACAAUGGGGUUCCGGUCUGGAGAUUGAACUUGUGCCGUAGCUGCCAGGUUCUCUAUACAGAGCUACAGGUCGUGAAGCAGCUACUGGAAUGCGAGCUUGAGAGGAACCAUCAGCUCAAACAGCUGCAUUCUUCAGCCAGUCGUUCUGUAGCCAAAUAUGGUCGGCUUAAGCACUUUUUGCCCAGCAAGGCACCACAUGUGAAACUGGUCCUAGCUUUUCAAGGCCAUGUAGAAGAAAAAUUCGAGAAAAUGCCAAACAGAGAGCCACUCGUGACCCCUUUCCUCGAAUUCAUGGCAGAUGGUGAAGUCCCAGCUAUCAGCCUCCUUUUCCUACAAAACCAUGGGAGAGUUCGAGAAUUUUUAGCUCACCUGCAACAAAAAAGGGUUCAAACCCACAACGCAGAGAAGCUACCUGACAGAUGUUGUGGCCUUUCUGAAAUACGUCCUUAACAUGGCACCACAACAAGUGCGACUCUCAACCAGGAGCAUCAAUGCCCUCUUGGUUGAAAUAAGGGCGCGUAUCAGAGAUG